UACGUAGGGGCCUAGCGUUGUCCGGAAUUAUUGGGCGUAAAGAGCUCGUAGGCGGUUCGUCACGUCGGCUGUGAAAUCCCGAGGCUCAACCUCGGGUCUGCAGUCGAUACGGGCGGACUUGAGUACUGCAGGGGAGACUGGAAUUCCUGGUGUAGCGGUGAAAUGCGCAGAUAUCAGGAGGAACACCGGUGGCGAAGGCGGGUCUCUGGGCAGUAACUGACGCUGAGGAGCGAAAGCGUGGGGAGCGAACAGG
rnacentral:rRNA from 1 species